rnacentral:lncRNA from 1 species
CAGUAUUUGCCCAGUAUCUCAGGAUUCUAGAGGAAUGUGAUCCCAUCUGCCCAAAGCAUUCCGGGCACAAGUGCUGUUACUUCAACAUUGGAACAUAUUCUUCAAUAAAGAAGAGCAUUGUCCUUUG